AUGUCAAUUACACUUUACAAAUUUCUGGGUUAUCUAACUACUAAAACUUAUAUCAUCCUUCAGCCCUAUGCUCCGAGCAUGCUGGAGAUGCUUAACCCAAGUCAGUCCCUUCGUGAGGGGAUCUGCUGGAUUCUCAUCCGAUGAUACCCUCUUUGCCACGAGGAGUCCUUCCUCUAUUCAAUGUCUGAUAAAAUGGUAUUUUAUGUCGAUUUGUCUGGAUCUCCCAUGAUCCCUUUGUUCCUUGGCUAAGGCAACAACGCUUUCAUUAUCAUAGAAAAUUUCCAUUGGCUCUUUAAUAGCUGGUACAACUCCAAGGUCUCCAACGAAGUUCUUCAGCNCCAAGGUCUCCAAUGAAGUUCUUCAGCCAUAUCGCCUCCUUUGCUGCCUCGCUAGCUGCAAUAUACUCUGAUUCACAAGUUAAAUCAGCCAUUGUCUCUUGCUUGGAACUCUUCUAAGAAAUUGCUCCUUCGUUUAGGGUAAAUACCCAGCCUGACAGAGAGCAUAAAUUAUCCCUAUCAGUCUAAAAGCUAUCAUCACUAUACCCUACAACCCUCAAGUCAUCACUCCCACCAAGACUCAGGA
rnacentral:lncRNA from 1 species